rnacentral:lncRNA from 1 species
UAAUGAUAGUACCAUUGUUCAGUUUAAAGAAGUAAUCAGUGUUCAAUUUAAAAAAUAGUGAUAGUACCCGUGUUUAGUUCUAGAAAUAGUUAGUGUUUAAUUUACGAAAUAGUGAUAGUACUAGUAUUUAGUUUAAGAAAUAGUUAAUGCUCACUUUAAGAAAUAGUGAUAUUAUCGUGUUUAGUUAUGAAAAUAGUUAAUGGUCAGUUUACGAAAUAGUGAUAGAACCAAUGUUCAGUUUGAGAAAUAGUGAUAAUAUCAGUGUUCAUUUUACAAAAUAGUGAUAGUACCAGUAUUCAGUUUAAGAAAUAGUUAGUGAUUACUUUAAGAAAUUGUGAUAGUAUCAUGUUUAGUUCUAGAAAUAGUUUGUGGUCAGUUUACAAAAUAGUGAUAGUACCAAUGUUCAGUUUAAGAAAUAGUCAAUGUUCAAUUCUAUAAAUAGUCAAUGUUCAAUUCUAGAAAUAGUAUGUGUUCCGUUAAGAAAUAGUGAUAGUAUCAGUGUUCAUUUUACAUAAUAGUAAUAGUACCAGUAUUCAGUUUAAGAAAUUGUUAGUGCUUACUUUAAGAAAUAGUGAUAGUAUCGUGUUUAGUUCUAGAAAUAGUUUGUGGUCAAUUUACAAAAUAGUGAUAGUAACAGUGUUCAGUUUAAGAAAUAGUCAAUGUUCAAUUCUAGAAAUAGUCUGUGUUCAGUUUAAGAAAUAGUGAUAGUACCAGUGUUCAGUUAACGAAAUAGUGAUAGAAUCAGUGUUUAGUUUAAGAAAUAGUUAGUGCUCACUUUAAGAAAUAGUGAUUGUAUCGUGUUUAUUUCUAGAAAUAGUUUGUGGUUAGUUUACAAAAUAGUGAUAGUACGAGUGUUCAGUUUAAGAAAUAAUCAAUGUUCAAUUCUAGAAAUAGUAUGUGUUCAAUUUAAAAAAUAGUGAUAGUACCAGUGUUCAGUUUACGAAAUAGUGAUAGAACCAGUGUUCAGUUUAAGAAAAAAUCGAUGCUCACUUUAAGAAAUAGUGAUAGUAUCAUGUUUAGUUCUAGAAUUAGUUUGUUGUCUGUUUACAAAAUAGUGAUAGUAUUAGUGUUCAGUUUAAGAAAUAGUUGGUGUUCACUUUAAGAAAUAGUGAUAGUCAGUGUUCAUUUUCAUUAAAAGAAUAUCAAUUUCUCUUAUUGAUAUGUAUCAACAAGUUCAUAAGGAUUUUGAGUGACUGAUUUUCUAUGUCAUACUAAAAUUCAAUGUUUCUUACAUCACCUGUUGUUUAUGAUCCGACCGUGAAAAAUAGUUUUCGUGUUCAGUUUCAUAUAUAGUUUUCGUGCUCUGUUUCAUAAAUAGUUUUCGUGUUCAGUUUCAUAAAUAGUACAUGUGUUCAGUUUCAUAAAUAGUUUUUGUGUUUAGUUUCAUAAAUAGUAUCCAUGUUCAGUUUUAUAAAUAGUUCUCGUGUCCAGUUUCAUAAAUAGUUCUUGUGCUCAGUUUCAUAAAUAGUGUAGUAUUUGUGUUCAGCUUAAGAAAUUAUCAGUGUUCAGUUUUAGAAAUAGUGAUAGUACCCAUCUUCAGUUCUAUAAAUAGUUAGUGUUCAGUUUCAAAAAUAGUUUAGUACUUGUGUUCAGUUUCAUAAAUAGUCAGUUUAAGAAAUAGUGUGAGACCCCAUAUUUUAAAAAUAUAUGUCUAAAUAAAGAGUUUUAUUGAGUUUCUUUUACCCGUGCGUCAAGUGCAUGGUCCAUUUUGCCACUGAUUUCGGGUCUAGGGCGUUUGCGACAAAUAUUCAAUGUUCAGUUUAAAAAUAGUGAUGGUACCCGUGUUAGAAAUAAUGAGUGUUUAGUUUAAGAAACAGUCAGUUUAAAAAUAGUGAUGGUACUCGUGUUAGAAGUAAUAAGUGUUCAGUUUAAGAAACAGUAAUAGUACCAAUGUUCAGUUUAAGAAAUAAUGAUAACUCUGUGUUCAGUUCUAGAAAUAAUAAGUGUUCAAUUUAUAGUUGAUAAUUUUUUACUUGUGAAAAUAUAUAUUUAGCUAUUUGACUUUUUGUUUUACUUGAAAAUUUGCAUAAGUAUCAAUUUUAUAGUUGUAAUUUUAACGUUGUUUUGGAAUUAACCAAUGCAGAAUGUAAUACCUAUAUAUGGUUGGAAGCUCCACACAAAUUUUUAGUUAUAACUUCAAAGCUGUAACAAUUAAAAAAUGAAUAAAAAAAAUAAAACAAAAAUUCAAUCAUCCUUGUCUUCUCACUUAAAAUCUGGUCAUUUCCUCCAAGAGCCUCAAUUCCACCACACCCACUGCACAACAGCAUUUGAAGCAGAGACACUCGGCAAAGUGGCAUCCUUUCUUUCAAGAGCAAGUGGGAAUGUCUGUGCAAACGUAAAUGAGAACAGAUUGAACAAGUAGCUUGACUGCGGGAGUCCACAAUAUACUGAAAACUUGAUCCUUCUCUCCUGCCAUUUAUCCUCCAGAGGGUCCCAAUUUCCAUUCCCAUUGGUUUACUUUGAUCCUCAUAUGAAAUCUUCCACGAGGUCCCUAUGAAUAGGAUGCUUCAUCUGAAAUCCAGUUUCGAGUUGCAUACAUAUGAAUAAAGGGGAGUUAAUUUCUAACGGAAUGGGGUUUCCGUUGGGGGCAAGGGCUGGAAAAAAAAAGUUUAUUUCGUGUUGGGCUUUUAGCUUAGCCCAUUGUGUUCAAUGUUUAUAAGGCCUAAUAUAGAAUAGUUGUGUCCUUAUGAUUAAAUAUGAAGCCCUUUUGGUUAAAUAAUAGUAUAUGGUGAUUUUUUGUUAAAUUAAACUUAGUCCAAGCCCUUUUCAUUAAAACUCCCUAAAAUUAAUUCUGUUUAUACCAUAUUUAGGGCCUCGUAUUUAGAUCUCGUACAAAUACUCGGGGGACUUAAAUGUAAUUAUGUGAUAAAGGAAGAGGCAAAUAUGUAAUAAGUGAGAAGUCCUUAUUCUAUAAAAAGACCCUUCACCCUCACAAUUAGGGGAGACCAUUUUCAGAGGCCAACUCUCAGGCCAUCACUCCCCUCUCUCACCCUCAUAAGCUCUCAGAAGCUUUCACCUUCUCCCUCUUCGACAUCUCAUAGAAAUACAUAAUCAGUGUGGACGUAGCCCAAACCUUAGGGUGAACCACGAUACAUCUUGUGUCAAUUACAUUUUAUGCAGAUUCACGGUCGGAUUUACGUUGUACCAAGACCUCCGAUUUUGUGCAUCAACAUUUGGCGCCGUCUGUGGGAAGCGACACAAAAAAAAUACGUCGGUUCUUUUUCAUUUUUUUCACCUCUGCCGUGAAUCUGCACAACCCUUCCCAAAAAAACAUUCACUAAACUCCAAAACUCAAGCACAGUUUCUUCUUUGGUUGCUCUCUUUCAAAUCUUAUUUAUUUUCUGCUGCUGUUCUAUGGAGUUCUACUACUUCUACUUGAAUUUGUCUUCUUCUUCAUUGCUUUCUGUCUUUUAACGAGUAAUUACACCAACAACAAAAGUUGAUCAGACGGUAGAGCUGGUCAACACAAGGUCUCUCUCUCUCCUAGGACCUCUACCCUAUCAGAAUCAUUCAACAGAACCUGGCAGAGCAGGAAGCACUCCAACCCUGACAACACGUCGUACAGAGAAGCCUCCGACGCGCAACAUGUCGUUCCU